CCUGCGUUUGGAGGGGAAUGUGCAGUCCCUCCAGUCUCCAGCACCGGUUCCGGCGCUAGCCCCCACACCACUACCUGCCUCCGUCCUAUCUGAGCUGGUUCGCGGAAUAACCCUGUCCCUCCCGGAGCGCUUUGACGGUGCACCAGCGAAAUGCAUGGGAUUCCUUCUGCAAUGCGACCUGUACCUCGCUCGCUAUGCCGAGGCUGUCUCCGGGAGAGACAGAGUUGCUACCGUCAUCUCAGCACUGACCGGAUGGGCCCUGGACUGGGGUGCUGCGGUCUGGUAAACGGGCGCAGCCGAGGUCAAGUCCCACGAGCGCUUCACCCUCAUCUUCCGCUCGGUGUUUGAUCAUCCUGUGGAGGGCCGAGAGGGGGGUGAGCGCCUACUCCAACUACGCCAGGGAUCUAGGACCACCUCUGUGUUCGCUCUGGAGUUCCGCACCAUCGCAGCCUCCACCAGAUGCACGAGUCGGCUCAGGUCACCGUGUUACGCAGACUGCGGGAGGAGGUACAGAUGGAGUUCGCCUGCCGUGAUGACAACCUGUCACUCGACCAGCUCAUCAGCGUGGCGAUUCAUUUGGACAACCUCCUGCUGUCCCGACGAAGACCUGAGCGGAAUCCGGAGCCCAUGGCUACACCUGCUCCAUGGUCAGAGCCGAUGGAGGUGGGCUCUGCACGUUUGCCCAAGGCAGAGCAUAGGAGAAGGAGGAAUCUGCUCCUAUUGUGGAGAAACGGGUAAUUUCUCCCCAACCUGCCCUCUAUACACUAAUAGGCGAGGAGGUGACAAGCCAGGUAAUUCUCCUGCUCCAACACAGGUUUGUUUUGAUGUGAGAGAGGAAGCCAGUCCCAUCACCCGCUCUUAAGAUAACCUUCGGGCCAACUGGGGGCCCAAGGCUGGUUAGGAGACACCGCUAGAGACACUGUAAUUGUGAUGAACUGAGAGAAUAUUAGGGUAGCACUGUAAUUCAUUAAUCAUAUGCUGUCUGCCUCUGUUCUUACCUCUUUCCCUUUCUGUCUUCUACACCUCUCUCCCCACCUCGUCUUUCUUCCUCAUUUUAUAAUGCACACCAUAUGUGCAUUAAAGUACAGAUUGAACUUGUAUUUAUAAUAUAAUAUUACAAUUAUCAUAAAUAUAAUGCUCCGUAUUGUGUAUUUAUAACACCUGGAUAAUGAACUUCUUUCAAUAAAGUGUUUCACAUCAACUGGUUGAAAUUAAGUAUCUCAUUGAAAUACUAUCCUGUGUCCUCAGAUUAAUGCAGAUGAAGGGAGUUAGAUAUGCAUAGUUUUUUUUCUAAAUAUAUGAAUUACAAAUCAGCCUUUACUUAAAUCAUGUUUCUAGUUACAAUGUGUAAUCAUUGAUGUCCCAGGAGCAGGAGUGGUAAACACUGUUGAAGUGUAUAAUUGUAAUACAUACAUGCAGACAUAGCAUCAUUCAAAGAAUUAAGUUUGAUACACCUGGUACUGGAUAUGACUGAAAAAUAAUGUCUCAGAGAUUCAUACCUGAACAGCACCUUUAUUUGCCAAGGAAGAGUACAUGAUCAGUGAAUAUAUUCAAUGUACAGGCUACAAUGUGGGGAUCUCAUGCGUGGUAAUAACUACAGUACAUGUAUAUACAUGUAUAUGACCUCCCGGGUGGCGCAGUGGUCUAGGGCACUGCAUUGCAGUGCUAGCUGCGCCACCAGAGUCUCUGGGUUCGCUCCCAGGCUGGGCUGGGUUCGCUCCCAGGCUCUGUCGCAGCCGGCCGCAACCGGGAGGUCCGUGGGGCGACGGACAAUUGGCAUAGCGUCGUCCGGGUUAGGGAGGGUUUGGCCGGUAUGGAUUUCCUUGUCUCAGUAUGUUAAAUGUAAAAAAUGUAAUAAAAUGUAUGCACUCUACUGUAAGUCGCUCUGGAUAAGAGCGUCUGCUAAAUGACUAAAAUGUAAAUGUAAAAAAAUUUAAUAUAGGACUUGCAUCCUUGGCACAAUAAAGUUAUUAUAUUCUACUCAA